ACUCGUUUGGUGGAAUUGGUAGACACGACAGAUUCAAAAUCUGUUGCUAAAGCUUAUCGGUUCGAGUCCGAUAACGAGUA
rnacentral:tRNA from 1 species